rnacentral:rRNA from 1 species
AUACGUAGGUGGCAAGCGUUGUCCGGAUUUACUGGGUGUAAAGGGCGUGUAGGCGGAGAUGCAAGUCAGGAGUGAAAUCUAGGGGCUCAACCCCUAAACUGCUUUUGAAACUGUAUCCCUUGAGUAUCGGAGAGGCAGGCAGAAUUCCUAGUGUAGCGGUGAAAUGCGUAGAUAUUAGGAGGAACACCAGUGGCGAAGGCGGCCUGCUGGACGACAACUGACGCUGAGGCGCGAAAGCGUGGGGAGCAAACAGGAUUAGAUACCCUCGUAGUCCAUACUGUAAACGAUGAUUACUAGGUGUGGGGGGAUAGACCCCCUCCGUGCCGCAGCUAACGCAAUAAGUAAUCCACCUGGGGAGUACGGCCGCAAGGCUGAAACUCAAAGGAAUUGACGGGG